rnacentral:rRNA from 1 species
UACAGAGGGUGCAAGCGUUGUUCGGAAUUAUUGGGCGUAAAGCGCGUGUAGGCGGCUUAGCAAGUCGGGCGUGAAAGCCCUCGGCUCAACCGAGGAAGUGCACCCGAAACUGCUGAGCUUGAGUGCCGGAGAGGAUGGCGGAAUUCCCCAAGUAGAGGUGAAAUUCGUAGAUAUGGGGAGGAACACCGGUGGCGAAGGCGGCAUCU